GAUGGUAUAGCUCAGUGGUAGAGUGCAUGCCUAGCAUGCACAAGGUCCUGGGUUCAAUCCCCCGUACCUCCA
rnacentral:tRNA from 1 species